GAGUUUGGUGGAGGUGAAGGACUUAGCUCACUCGGUGAACAGUUCAGUGAAAGCCUGUGUUCACAGUGGCUAAGUUCCGCUCCUCACAAACAU
ensembl:miRNA